GCGCACUUGUUGGUGUUAACGGUUGAAAAUAGGGAGGAUACUGGUAGUGUUGAGGCCCGUACAACUGGCCAUCAUUUCCCAUGGUUGGUACUGGAGACCCUGCUGGGGAAUAUGGGCCAUACGGAGCAUAUCCAUAUCCAUGGUGAUAAACUAGAGACCCAUUAUCCCCAUAAACUCCCUGACAAAAUCAAAAAAUAGAGUAGAUAAAAGCAUUAGCAAUUGGAUCAAAAGGGCUGCAGAUGGAAGAAAACGGGAAUGUAAAAAUUCUCACCGAAGUCAUCUCAACUCCUUCCGAAUUCACAUAUCUGGAAUAAUCAUCCCACUCGUUACCAGUUCCAUCAUAACCUGCAAUGAACCAAACCAUUUAGCUUGCAUGAGAAUUAUAUAGUGCAGUAACAAAACUCACUAACAAGGAAUCCAUGUCGUUUGUUUGCAGUAUUUACCCAUAAACUUACCACCAUAAUAAUAUGCAGUAGACGGAUAACCAUUUGGUAGGUAACACAUAGCAGGAUCAAUAAAAUCCAACACUGGGGUCACAGACCGUUCGUAUGACGGGAUCUGGCCAUUAGCACCAUUUCCUGAAUCAACUGAUCCAUACUGAUUCCCAGUGGCCUACACAAUUGAACAAAUCAACUCAGCAUACAAUUCACUAACAGAACACAGCAAACAGAUGCAAACAUCUCAUUUAACAUAUCAAAAGCUAUACUACUGUUUACAGUGAGUCAAAUCGUGAAAUUUAUAUAACAAACAUAAAAACACACAAGAUUUUACCUUCUUGGUAGGUUCAGGCAUCUCCAAGGGCUUUGGCUGAGUUUCUAGCGAUAGCUUCUGCAGCAAAUCAGUUGCUUCUGUAGCAAAUCAGUGAAGGAACACAAAAAACCUCCGGAAAAAUCAAAGUAUUCAACAACGAAAAAACCUAAAACUCGUCACACAUACAACAAAAUUCCAAAAGAACUCAAACCCUCAAUACCCAACAACUCAAACGAGUCAAUUUAGACCGCAAAGUCAACACCGUAAAAAACUCAAGCAUACAAAAACCCCAUCAUGCAGCCAUCACAAAUCAGCAAGCAGAACACCAAACCCUAAAAGAUCAAAGCCCAAAAAUUAGGUUUAGAAACGAAUACGCAACAGAUCCAAUCAGCGAUUCACCAGAACAGAUCAAGAAAGCAAACACGAGAUAUAAAUUGCAUAAAAUAAUAAGG
rnacentral:lncRNA from 1 species